AUCCUCCCCGCGGCGGCCCCCGGAAGCAGGAAGGACGCGGGGUGCGAACAACGCCCGAGGGACGCCGGCGGACCCCAAAGUCCCGCUGUCUCGCAGUCCGCGGCCCUCGAUGGUUAAGGCCACUGCGGGGCUCCGGCUGCGCCCAGCCGGGCUGGAUGCGGCUCUGGGUCCCUGCCUUCUGCAACGCCCUGCGGUGGUGCAGUACAGCUCGAUAACCCUUACGGCCAGCAAGCUAAGUGAUAGUCUUACAGCUUGCUUAAAAAGAUGCUUCAAACGUAGGGCUCCUGCGUACCUGCAAGGUGCAUGGGUUUGCGACUCAUCCCAAGGGUUGUGGAUAGGACAAGCAUUGGGAAACCGUAGUGCUAAGGCCUCGGAAUUUCAAAGGGCUUUAGGUGGCCCUUUUUCACCACACUUAGGCAGCUCCAGUAGUGCUGGAAAACACCUUCCAUCACAAAAGGGAAGGGUGGAUUCCUCAGGAAAGCCGUGUAAAAGCCAGACAUCUGCUCUCCCGUGUUCACCAAAACCCCCUCAAGAGGUAAAUUCAGUUACCAUCUGGAUGGAGCGCUCUAGGAUAAAUCAGCCUCCUGAAGAUGUUCCUCUCACUUUACCACGUGCUGGGAUACACUGAGCAUCAUUUGUGUGACUGAAGUGGUGUUGGACCUGGGAGAGGAUAUAAAUGUUGAUAGCCUCAUUUACAACACAUGUUCUGGUUGCUGGCUGAGGAGAUGUCAACGUGCAGCUCCUUGCAGCACUCACUGCUCCCAGCCCUGGUGUGCCCUGGUUGCACUCAGUCUUUGCCCGGAGGAACUGAUACCCCAGCUCUGCUUUCUUAGAGUAAGCACUUUAUUUUGGGGCACAGUGCAGUCAUUCUAAUUGACAUGCACUUGUCAUUUACUUGAUGAUUCCAGAUUGUCUCUGCCCAGAUCUCAGACUGAAUCUCUGCUAUUCUAGAUGCAGGUCCAUAGCAUCAUCUAUGCCCACCAUACCUAGAAGCUUUAGAAUGAGUAGUUCUGCUUGUAUUCAGCACUGAGUUCCUUGGCUAGUACAGCAUGAUGUGGUUGGAUGCUGCAUCCAGGAGAGACUUUUGCUGUGCUGCUGUACACCAAGGGCUGUAGGCACUUUACAGCCACAUCAGGUGGCUGAGAUGAUGAUAAGAGCAGCACUCCUCCAGAGUUAGGUCUGACACUUCUUUUAGAACAAAUGAAGUCACGCAGAUGCCCAAAGACUAGUAGCAUUUCUCCUAAAACUGGCACUGUGCUCAUGGGCACCUCUGUUCUACAGUACUUCCCUGUUGAGCCUGCAGCUUCCAUUAGGAAAAGAACACAGAUGCAGUUUAAGAUAAAUGCAUACCUGCUUAGCAAUGAUGCUCCCACCCUGAUAGUUUGUAUUCUGCAUACACAUAUCCCUAGUAUUUUGCCACGUGGUGCCCACUAGUGCCAGCUGCUUGCUUCUCCCAGUGCAGUAUGUGGUUUUGGGGCAUAUGCCUGUGCCAGUCACUAACAUGAGCAUCUUAUCCCUGUUGUGUGGAAGGUUCUUUGAGGAUCUGCUCACUGUUUGCAAAAUGUGGGUAGUCAUUCCCAGACAUAAUGGUAAAACGAUAACCUGUUUCACAAGUAGGCAUUUUUCUUGGAAAUGCAAGCCAGUAUGCAAAAUGUAUUAUAUUUGCUUUUUAGCACUUCAAUAUUUUUUUUUUUUUUUUAAGAAAAAGUGACGACAUAAACAUCUGUGGAAAAAUAUGUGUAGAUAAACAGAGUAAAAGGCUCAAUGAAUCUACUGAAUCAAAGAAGAAAAUGCUGUUGUACAGGUAGGUGAUACAGUUAUACCUGAAAUAGCCUGCUGAGGUAGUCCUCUGUUCUAUGAGGAUAUUGCAUGGUAAAGAAUAUGCAGUAAGCACAUUGUAUGACAGCAGGUGCAGGGUUACAGCCAGUCCUUGUGAUGGUGGAGAUGUUUCACAUAUUAAACUCUGAGCAUCAGGGCUGCCUUUGGGAGAAAAUGGCCUUGUGCUACAAGAGAUGUAGACCUCUGCCCUCAUGUUUUCACCAGCUUACAUCACUUCAUGUGAGAUGGAAGUCAGACAAGAGAAGAUGCUUUAACCCCAUGAGCAUGCCUCUGAGAAACCUGCAGACUCCCAGCUCCAUGGCCUUAUGGAGCGCAUCAACAGAUCGGCUGCUGGGUGAAAUGUGGAGAUGUGCUGUGUAAAGCUGACUCAGUGUCAUGUGACCUUUCGUGUUUGAAGUGAUGUCAGCUUUCUGGCUGCAGCUAAAUCACGUAAGUAUGCCACUCCAGUGGUGGAAGGAGGACUAUGGAGAAUGUCUUGCUGUUUUAAAGGGACAACAAUCGAUAUCCAGUGUUCUCUGUCUUCUUGUUUGCUUUGGUUCAGUUUUGUUUCUCCAGAGCAUUUAAUAGCAGAUUGGUAUCCCACAACUGAAUGUAGUCGAACAUUGCACAUAAAGCUGUAUUUUUCUUGUGGAUAUGGUGUUUUCUAAAGUAAACAGAUAGUUUUAAAUAAAGCACUUGAAGUCUAAAACUAGAA